rnacentral:rRNA from 1 species
UACGUAGGGGGCAAGCGUUGUCCGGAAUCACUGGGCGUAAAGGGCGCGUAGGCGGCCCGGUAAGUAGGGGGUGAAAUCCUGCGGCUUAACCGCAGGGCUGCCUUCUAAACUGUCGGGCUCGAGCACGGUAGAGGCAGAUGGAAUUCCCGGUGUAGCGGUGGAAUGCGUAGAGAUCGGGAAGAACAUCAGUGGCGAAGGCGGUCUGCUGGGCCGUUGCUGACGCUGAGGCGCGACAGCGUGGGGAGCAAACAGG